rnacentral:lncRNA from 1 species
GAUUAGUGCCACCAUUAAAAUUUUAGUAAGUGCAGGGGUGAGUCAAUCAUAUUUUGACUUUUUUUUUUUUAACCAGUCAGCCUCCAGAAAAAUGCAGAUGACUCCUGAAGAACUCUGGACUAUCACAGGCACAAUCAUGCAGUAAGCGAUCAUCACAGCUAUGGUGCCAGAUAUUUCACAUAUUAUUCAGCAAUUUAUUGAGGAGUACUCUCUUCUCCAUUACAAUCAAUCAAGAGGUUUUGUGUUUUAGGUAAUAAGGUACUAACUGUAUUAGAAAGCAGCAACAGUGAGCUGUGGUUGGCACUGGAAAUCCAAAAGCAGUGGAUAGUAGAGGAAACUAAGAAGUGCAAGAUUAUCCAUGUCCUUCUGAAUUGGAAUCGCUGACUCAUUUAUUCUUUUCGAAAUGUAAUCAUUUUACAUUGAUUCAAUCAUAAAAGAGUAAGUACAAAAGAAAGAUAUAAAAAAUAAAAAAGCUUCCUUUGACCCUAAAUACCCAUUAUCUACAGUCCUAUUUAUCUGUUCCAAUUAAUAAUCAAUUCUUGAACUAUAUCCACUUUUUCUUAUCUUUCAUUCAACCCUCAGAUGAUUUCAGUAUGAUUUCUACUCACCGCUAAUGAAAAUGCAGCAGUAACAUCACCUUUAUAACAAAUCCAAUGAACAUUUUAAUCACAUCAUAUUUUAUCAUCUAAGGCACUUUCAAAUUCUCAGAAUCUUCACCAUUUUAAAUGCAAAUGAAAAAAAUUUUGCAAAGUCAAUUAAUAAUGAAUCAUCAAAGAGAAUGCAGCCACCCAAGGAAACAAAGUUUGAAGAAGUUGGGAAAGAUCAUUUCACAAGACAGCCAUUCAUUCUAUUGUGUGGCCUUCUGAACUUUAUUCAAGAGGAAACCUGCUAGAAGGGAAAUUAGCUGACAGUCUCCAGGUGCUUUCAGGAUCUGCCUCAGCAUUUGUGCCAUGGCACACAACAGAAUUUCUGUACCCCAUCCAAUGCCUGAGCAUCAUGAUGAUAUAAGAAUUCAACAUUUCAGACCACAUGGAACUGUUUGAAAAACAUCUUGGCAUUGAAAUUUCCUGUUGGACUAGCCAGGAUUUUCUCUAGGCUAUCCCACUGUCUAUGGGUCUUCCUAGUCAGCCUUCUUUCUUUCAUCCCAAUGAAUCUCAAUAAAUCUGUUGUACUUAAUACA